rnacentral:tRNA from 1 species
UAAGAAGUAGCUCAAUGGAAGAGCAGUCCGCCACGGCGGAAAGGUAAGCGGUUCGAUUCCGUUGUUCUUGA